rnacentral:lncRNA from 1 species
UUUUUAUUCCUUUCAUGGUCGGUCAAGGAUUAGUAAUUCUAUGUGAGUGAUUUCACCUCUUAGGUAGAUGGCAGCACCACAGCCGGAUCUUCAUGGCGAUCAAACACCAUGUGGUCAGGUUUGAGAUCCAUUUCUGUGAGUAUAAUUAAGGAAUGAAGCGAAAUAACUGGAGAAUGCUCACAUAUAUGGAUCUGAAAAC